CGCAUAAAGCUUUGUGGUCAUAAUGAAAUUACAUUUGCUACCAGGCAGAUCAAAACAUUUGAAGUCUCCUGCAAGCCACUUCUAAAGAUGUGGAAGAACAUGGCGUCAGUUCUGCAAAUCAGAUAUUUGUCAGCGUGGGUAUGUGGUGGCUGAGCUCUGAACUGGGAAAGAACUGGAAAUUGGCAUGAUGCUGUCCUCCAGAAGCCCUGAGGGAUCUGUCAGGGGUUCUGCAGGUCAAAGUACCCCUCAACAAGAUUUGUGGAUUGACCAGCCCAAAGGUUACAUUUCAAAGCAUUUGUCAAACUGUGGGGGCAGCUAGCCAGUCUCAAAAGAAAGCCCUCAGAAGGCAACUUUUCUUCAGGUCAUUGACCAAGAUGGUGGCUGUUUCAUCACCUCACCGGACUUCCAUACAAGAGC